UGGGGAAUCUUGGACAAUGGGCGAAAGCCUGAUCCAGCAAUGCCGCGUGUGUGAAGAAGGCCUUCGGGUUGUAAAGCACUUUCAGUGGGGAAGAAAUACUUAAGAUUAAUACUCUUAAGGGUUGACGUUACCCACAGAAGAAGCACUGGCAAACUCUGUGCCAGCAGCCGCGGUAAUACAGAGAGUGCGAGCGUUAAUCGGAAUUACUGGGCGUAAAGGGCACGUAGGUGGAUGUUUAAGUCGGAUGUGAAAGCCCCGGGCUCAACCUGGGAAUCGCAUUCGAUACUGAGCGUCUAGAGUAUGGUAGAGGGAAGUGGAAUUUCCGGUGUAGCGGUGAAAUGCGUAGAUAUCGGAAAGAACACCAGUGGCGAAGGCGGCUUCCUGGACCAAUACUGACACUCAAGUGCGAAAGCGUGGGGAGCAAACAGG
rnacentral:rRNA from 1 species